rnacentral:lncRNA from 1 species
GUGUUUAGCCCAUUUGGCUAUGUUCAAUCAUUUAUAAAAGAAUAGGUUGCCGAUUAUAUCCAUUGUGUUUGAUGGUAACCGGAUUUUGAAUUUAACAUUAAUGUAUAUUGAGGAACUGUGUUUAGCCCAUCUGACUCUGUUCUAUCAUUAACAAAAUGGUUGCCGAUUAUAUAAUUUGUGUUUGAUGGUAAACGGAUGGUUGCCGAUUAUAUACUUUGUGUUGGGAUGGUCAUCGGAUUUUUAAUUUAUGAUAAAUGUAUAUUGAUGAACUGUGUUUAGCCCAUUUGGCUAUGUUCAAUCAUUUAUAAAAGAAUAGGUUGCCGAUUAUAUCCAUUGUGUUUGAUGGUAACCGGAUUUUGAAUUUAACAUUAAUGUAUAUUGAGGAACUGUGUUCAGCCCAUCUGACUCUGUUCUAUCAUUAACAAAAUGGUUGCCGAUUAUAUAAUUUGUGUUUGAUGGUAAACAGAUGGUUGCCGAUUAUAUACUUUGUGUUGGGAUGGUCAUCGGAUUUUUAAUUUAUGAUUAAUGUAUAUUGAUUAACUGUGUUUGCCCAUUUGGCUAUGUUCUAUCACAAAAAAGAGAGUUGCUCAUUAUAUUCAUUGUGUUGUAUGGUAAUUAGAUUUUUGAAUUCAUGACUAAUGUAUAUUGAUGAACUUAUUUUAGCCCAUUUGUUAAAUGAUUGACCAUUUCAGUCUUAUUGUCUGAAUGCCCACUAUAGACAUUGUGUAUGCUGGUGACAUGAUUUCGAAUUGAUGUGCUGCCAAAUUGCAAAUUUGUCAUAUUUUCCUUUCUAUCUCAAAGUUUAUAACGGGCUAGCGACAAAUUUACAUAUAUUAAUAUACUUUAUGCCAAAUUUUCAAGUAUACAAUUGAAUAUUUCUAGACAACGUCAAAAACCCAAUGAGUUCCGCAACACAGUCCAGAUGGUACAGCCACACCGCAACGCCACCCAGCCGUUUCAGCCCCGCAACCGGUGAAUCUGAACCCGCAACAACUUGUGGUUGUGGUGAGCCUUGUUGCAGAACACCAUUGUUCCGUGUUUGCGCAGCGAAGGGACAUUUUGGCUGAUGAUUCGCUGCACUGUCAGACAGUGUUGAACAAAAUGGCAUUACAGUUUUCGGCAGUAAUUUCCCUGACCAUUUUGAUUUUUAAGGAUAUGUGAGCUUGUACACACGAACUCAAACUCAUCGAAUAUAAGUGUUAAAGGUCACGCAUUAUGUGAGGGAGACGUUAGUAUUCUUUUCAGUGCGUCCUACCCAUAUUUGGAUAGUUGGAUGUUCAAUUAUAAAGUCGGUAUUUCGUUACGACAAGGAAUCAGCUGAGGGUUCUCAACUUGUAAUGCAGCGUCAUAAUGCGACCAUACUGUGUCAGAGUCAGGAUGGUAUGAAUUGGCGGCAAGUUAAACCAUUAAUCUUACACUUGUUUCCUUUUGAAGACAAUCAAGGUAUCAUUGUUAUUCAUUAGGUAAUUAACUUAUUUUUCAUAAGAGAGAGCUAGAAAACGCGUUAAUAAUUUCGCUGCUAAUUUGUUGUUGUUGUUUGUUGUUUUUUUUUAAAUACAUUGGUGGAUAAGUUCGUUAACCAGAAAUCGUCGAAUCCGUGACGGGUCUCUUCAACAGGGAUGGGGUGCACUUGUCAUAAUUUGGCAUUAUUUUGUUUUUAUUCACUCUGCAACACAAGUUUCAGUCCUUUUUAGCAGUAAAUUGUUAAGGCACAGCUUCACAGGCAGGGUUUGCUUCGCUAUACUGGUGGCGGUUGUCAAGAAUUUUCCACGUUGUUCCAAAUUCUCGACAUGUGGCGGUUAGGUCAGCCUCCACCAGUAUAUCUUAACGUUGUGUAAUAAAAAGUUUGUUUGUUUCAAGUAUACUGUAUUAGGCCUCUGUUCACAGGGCCUCCACAUCUGCAUU